GAAAUGGGGGUUGUAGUUGAUGAAGAUAAAUCCCCGGUUCUGGUCGAUCGUGUGAAACAGCGGGUUCCAGUCGAACAUGGCCAGCAUGUAGCCGGGCAGGGUGUUGGCCACGAACAUCUUGCCCGACGCGAUCAUGUUCGCCCGCUG
rfam:Rhodovulum sp. NI22 contig00001, whole genome shotgun sequence.